rnacentral:lncRNA from 1 species
UUGCAUUCAUCUCUCUUGUCUCUUGCUUUCUGUCUUACAAAAAAAGAAGAAGAUAACAAUGGCUGUUGUCGAAGUUUUUGUUGGUGCAAUUCUCACUGUUUUGCUUGAGAAGCUGGCCUCUGGUGAGCUGCUGAAAUUUCUGCGUCGUGUAGGAAUUGAUGCCCAGCUGGAAGAAUGGCGUACAACUUUGUCGAUGAUCCAGGCCGUGCUUACUGAUGCUGAAAACAAGCAAAUAGGAAACGUAGCUGUGAAACAGUGGCUGACCGAUCUGGAAGAUUUGGCUUACGAUCUUGAAGACUUAGUGGAUGAGUUGAAUACCGAAGCUCUGCAGCGCAAAUUAAAAGAAAAUAAAGGCAGCACCAGCAAGGUAAGAAAGUUCAUCCCAAACUGUUGUACUAAUCUUUCUUACAGUGAUUUCAUGUUUGAUCGCGGGAUUGCUUCCAAGUUAAAAGAGAUUAGUGGCCGAUUGGAAGCUCUAUCCAAAAAGAUAAAAAUUUUCAGAUUAGUGGAGAAUGUGAGAGGGAGGUCUUACGAAAGAUUGCCAACAACUUCGCUCGUGGUAGAAUCGGAAGUUUAUGGAAGAGAGAAGGACAAAGAGGAAAUACUCAAAAUUUUACUUGGUGUUAAAUCAGAUGAUAGUCAAAUAUCUGUGAUUCCAAUUGUGGGCAUGGGAGGUGUCGGCAAAACUACUCUUGUCCAACUUGUGUAUAAUGAUGAAAUAUUGAAGGAUAAGUUUGAUCUGAAGGCAUGGGCUUGCGUGUCAGAUGAAUUUGACGCUGUUGAAGUAACGAAAAACAUUCUGGAGGCAGUUUCUUCUGGUGGAAAGUGUGAUUCUGAAAAUUUUGACAUGCUUCAGGUCAAACUAAAGGAAAGCCUUUCAAACAAGAAAUUUAUGAUAGUUUUGGAUGAUAUUUGGAAUGAAGAUUAUGUAAAAUGGGACAUCCUACGCCGUCCUUUUCUUGCUGGAAAACCUGGAAGCAUAAUCAUCAUUACCACUCGACAAGAAAGGGUGGCCAAAAUCAUGUCCGGAAUGCCAGCAUACCAUCUGAAUUUGUUGUCAGAGGGCGAUGCUUUAUCAUUGUUAGCUCAACAUGUAUUUGGAGUUAAAACUUUUGACGCAUAUCCAGAAUUAAUAGAGAUUGGUAAAUCUAUUGUAAAAAGAUGUAAGAACUUGCCCCUGGCAGUCAAGGCCCUUGGGGGGCUUCUUCGAAGGACAGUAGGUCCGAAAGGAUGGGAAGAGGUGUUGAAAAGUGAGAUCUGGAUGGCUGAAGAAAAGGGUGAAAUUCUUCCGGCUCUAAAACUGAGUUAUCACUAUCUUCCUCCACAAUUGAAAAGAUGCUUUGCUUACUGUGCGCUCUUCCCCAAGGACUAUGAAUUUGAAAAGUUCCAUCUGGUUUACCUUUGGAUGGCUGAAGGUCUUUUGCAGGAAUCAAUGAAAGAUAUGUCUAUUGAAGAAGUAGGCAGUCAAUAUUUUGGUGAACUGCUGGAUGGAUCAUUCUUCCAACAAUCAAGUGCCAAUGCUUCAUGCUUUGUGAUGCACGACCUCUUUAACGAUCUAGCUAUGUCUGUUGCUGGCGAUAAAUGUUUGAGGAUGGAUGAUGCACUGCAGGAAAAUCUUCCUGGUAAGGCUUCUGUCCGUCACUUGUCAUUCAAGCGCAGUUACUAUGAAACUUACCCUAGAUUUAACUUUCUCGACAAAGUUCCAAAAUUGAGAACAUUUUUGCCACUACCGGUUGGGGAGUUUCAUUGCAACUUAUCCCAAAGAAUUUUGCUUCAACUAUUCGCAAAUUCAUGCCGCUUAAGAUUUCUGUCCUUGAAUGGUUAUGAGAUAUACGAGUUGCCAGAUUCUAUCGGUGAUUUAAGACAGUUACGGUACCUAGGCUUAGCUCGAACUCCACUGAAGUGGUUGCCUAAAUCUGUGUGCACUCUUAUCAACUUACAAGUGUUGAUUCUAAGUGGUUGUUGGAGACUUACCAAAUUACCCACAAGCAUGGAAAAUCUUAUUAAUCUUCGGCAUCUGGACAUUUCUGAUACUAGUGAAUUGCAUGAGAUGCCACGGGAAAUUUCUCAACUAACAAGUUUGCGAACGUUAACUAAGAUGACUGCAAGUAAAAAUAAUGGAAUGAGGUUAAAGGAGUUGGGAAAUCUAUCAUUUCUACAAGGUGAUAUUUCUAUUGAGGAAUUGCAAAAUGUUGUGUAUGUUCAAGAAGCAAAGGAUGCAAGGCUAAUGGAUAAGACGAGCCUCAACAAAAUAAGGUUGGCAUGGAGCAAAGACUUUGAUGAUUCUCGAAAUAAGAUUUUAGAAUUGGAUGUGCUUAAUGCAUUAAAGCCCCAUAAAAAUUUAUCAACACUUGAAAUCAUGUACUAUGGGGGUGAGAAUUUCUCUAAUUGGAUUGGAGAUUCAGCAUUUUCUAAGUUAGCAAAGAUAAGCUUCAAAUUUUGUAAAAAUUGCACGAGUUUGCCACCAUUAGGGCAACUACCUUCUCUAAGAGACUUGAGCAUUCGAGGCACUGAUCAAGUAAAAGUGAUUGGAAAAGAAUUUUAUGGAAAUAGAGGCCAUGGAGAAUUACCUUUUCCAUCACUCACUAGUCUGACUUUUGCGGACAUGCCUAACUGGGAGGAAUGGCGUGGAAUAAAAGAUGUUAUCGAACUUCCUCGGCUACACAAACUGAACAUAAGAAGUUGUUCAAAAUUGGUCAGGCUUCCAGAUCUCUUACUGCCAUCCCUUCGUGAAUUAGAAGCUAUAGACUGUAAUAAGGUGGUGCUACAUCAUAUGCAGAAAUUGGAAUCUUUAACUCGAAUACAAUUGACGAACAUUUGUGAAUUAACUUCGGUUAUCAAAGCAUUUGACCAAUUUCCAUCUACGCUUGAAAGAUUGAGAGUAUCAGGAUGUGUGGACCUUGCGACUCUAUUGCCAAGUGAUGAUACCGCACAAAACCUUGUCAGCCUAUGGGAAGUGUAUGUUGAAAGUUGUCCUCGACUAUUGUCCCUUCAAGAGAUUGAUUUUCUUCCUGGUCUUAGGAGUCUUAAAAUAACAAAUUGUGGCGCUUUGGAGUUGUUGUCUAAUAAAAUAUCUUUUCUUGAGAAGUUGGAUAUCAAACACUGUCCAUCAUUAAAGACGGUGAUGAAGCUACAGGAUUGCAGCACCUCGCUCAAUUAUCUGUCUAUUUAUAGUUGGGUGAAUUUGAAUUUGACAAAUUUACUGGGCUCGGGCCACGAUUACACAAGUCUCACUUCAAUAUCCUUAUGGUGUUGUGAUGGUCUAGAGUCAUUUCCCCAUGGAGGCUUGCCCACACCAAAUUUAAGUCGUUUAUCUAUAGGGGGAUGUCGACAUCUCAAAUCUCUACCCGAUCAAAUGAAUCUACUUUCGGCCCUUUUAGACCUGUGGGUAUACAACUGUGCUUCAUUAAUGGAACUCUUUCCCAAACAGAAUAUUCCCCCAAAUCUGUCUCACCUUAAUAUCUCAUAUUGCCAGAAACUACGGCCCCUGGGAGAAUGGGGCCUACACACACUCACCUCUCUUAGUUCCUUUACAUUUAGUGAAUGUCCAGAGCUGGUUUCCCUCACUAACAAUGCUGACGAAGAACACUGUGUGCUUCCUCCAUCUCUAACUGAGUUGUCGUUGUACUACAUGCCGAAUCUGGAAACCCUAUCAAACGGCUUACAAAGUCUCACCUCUCUUCAACAUAUAUAUAUCUACGACUGCCCAAAGCUUGUGGCGUUGCCUUUGGAAGGCCAGCUUCAAAAGCUUUUGAGCCUUAUCAUUAAAGGCUGCCCACGUCUUCAGAAACGGUGUUUGAAGAACAAAGGAGACUACUGGCCCAUCAUUGCUGACAUUCCCGAAGUCGAAAUUGAUUUACGUUCCAUCUACGAUCCAUGUCCAUGAAUUCAGUUACAUGAGGUAAUAGAUUUAAUUUGAUACCUAUGAAUCUCAACGUCAUUUCAUGCUGAACACAUUUCGACAUUUCUGUCAAUUUUGUUUUCAAAUCAGAAUGUGAAUUUUCUGCAGCAAACAAGUGUUCAUGCUACUCUGUAUCUUAUAUUUGUGCUUCUGCUCUGCAGUAUGAAUCAAUAUGAGAGCUGGAUUUACCAACAAUCGAGUAACUAAUUGGCUAUGGCACUAAAAUCAGCCUCUCUUCUCCCCUUGUAUGUGUUCUAUUAAGAGUAAAAUUCUAUCAAAUAGACAAAUUGGAGUGAUAGUUGUUUGUUCAAUUAAUUACCUUCAACUUGGAUAGAAUAUUUGAUUAAGUUAUUAAUAUUUUGCUUCAAUCUGCUUUAGCAAAUUGGAAAUGGAUUGAUACAACUUACUGUAUGUUUAUGCAUUUUUGAAUUUUCAUGUUUACUAUAUGCUUUAACAAACUGGAAAUGGGUGUGCGUUUUUCAAACCUUUUUUGUAGAGUGGACGUUCUUACACUAUUUGAAUGAAACAAAUAAAAAAUUCAUUGUUUUGGUGUAGGCAUUUUCUCAUUACUUGUAAGAACGCAAGAUGGAAUGAAGGUGCCUCUUCUAUGAGGCCUUCAAGUAAGUCUCUUUUUCGAUUUACUUUCUGCAUUUGCAUUUAAGUGUUUGUGUAAAUACCAUAGUGAAAUUAUAUGGUAGGAUCUGUGACUGAAGCUAUGUUCAGACAUAUAACUUUUCUUGCCUUUAUUAUUUCACGAUUUUAGUAAUAUUUUCUGAUUAUUUCCCGGGUUGCAUAGUAAAAUUGAAUUAUUUUAUCAAAAGAUGGAUUUUUAUCAUCUCUUAGCUUCUCUAUUUUUUAUUUUUUUUAAAUAUCUUUAUGGAAUUGUUGUAAUAGUAUUACCUCUUUAUGAUCAUUUGAUUGUUGGAAGAUCAUACAAGGAAUUUCGGGACAAAUGAUUUUUUGUGAAAAAAAAGUUUUGUCUGAGUAGGAAAAGUAUAUCCAUCCGUGUGCGUUUAGAUCUGUUAUUCAUAUUGAUAGAUUAUAUUCCAUAUGUGGAUGCACAUUGCAUAUAGAACAUAUACUCACCUUGGGUUGUUAGGUACCUGUUGUAGCUUUGCACAUCUGCUCUCCGUAAUGUUUAUUGUUGCAACGUUCAUAUGAUCAGAUGGUUAUUGAUGGUGUUAAAUGUUACUCUAAUUGAUUGCUGAAAUUGAUAGGGUUGGGAUGUGACACUGAAUUUCUCCAAGCUGCCGUAAGUUUUCCCUCACUAUUUAUUGGUUAAUUUUUCUUUCACUUUUUCCCCCCUCUUUUUCACAUUUUACUUGAUACUCUCGUUAUAUGUGAUUAAUUUUGCGUUGGUAAUAUUAGGCUUGCUGCGAGGAAGGCCAAGAAGGAAAAGAAAGUGAAAGAUCCAAACAAGCCAAAGAGGCCUCCAAGUGCUUUCUCUGGCCAAAGGUUAAUUAGACCAUUAAUCCAUUCAAUGCUAUUUCUGCUUUCAGGGAAGGGUUCAGGAAACAAUCCAAGAAAAAAAUAGCCGAAUCAAUUGUUGUUGUAAGUUCAUCAUUCUUUUUAAAUUUUCUUUGAAGCUUAAUAUUCAAGCCAGAUAUUUGCACUAGGAGCUUGCAUGAUAAUUUUCUUUAUGAUUUCUUGUUUUCCUUUUGGGAAUAAAUAAUAAUAUAGGUUGGAAAAGUUGGUGGAGCUAAGUGAAAGUCCAUGAGUGAUGAGGUAAAUAUAUGCAAUCUAAGUUAUUAUUUAUAUUUUAUUCCUCAUCUCAAGAAAGUUCCUAAUGUUAUGAAAAUAAGGAAAGCUCCCUCGGUGCAAAAAGACAGAGAAACUAAAGGAGGAAUAUGAGCACAAAUGGCAUACAAUUACAAGAAUUUGACAAUCCAUCUAUGAGAAGCAUAGCCUUAUACAUUGUUUAGUUUAGACUACGAUAUGGAAAUGACUUAUAUCGAACUAUUUUUAUAGGUUGGAGUUGCUAAUGAUGAGUCCAGCAAGUCAAAGUCCAAGGUUAAUGAUGAUGAGGACAAUAAGAGCAAUGGAGAUUUUAGUUGAGAUUAAGCUAUACAACCUUUUUUACUUGAAAUUUGGUGACUGUGUUGACUUAUUAUUUUGUUUUAAUUAAUGUAGGAGGAAGACGAUGUGUAAGGACCAUCACAGAAAAUUGGAUUCUGGAUUCAAGGUGAUAACUAACAAACAAACAAUUUUCCUUCAUUAAUUUGCGUUCUGGCUUCAAAUUUUGUAAAAUGUUUGAAUUCAAAUCGGGUUAAUCGGAUUGGUGAAAUUAGGAUUUCAUGAAGAAUUGUCCUGUAGAAAUUGGGCUUCAUGUUAAUUCUAUUGAAAUCAAUUGAAAUUAAUUAUUGAUAAUAAGACUUUUCUCCUCUUUUUUUGGUUGUGAGUGUUGCUAAGGUGUUUUUUUUUUCUUCUUUAUAGUGAGGGAACAAGCAUCUCUUCCCUUCCAUUAACUCUAGCAAGAAAAAGAGAGGAAACGUAUCUCUUGAUUUUCCUUUUCUGUAUGCAAUUAUUUAGAGGGAAUCGGUGGAGGAAGAGGAGGUCGAGUGUUUGUAGACCCAUGAGCAACAAAGGCAGACUACAAUAAGAAUUUGGUAAGUCCAUCAAUGAAAUACUCUAUUACAAUACACCACGUGCGUUACACGCCAGGAAUUAGUUUGAUAAAUAUUUAAUGUUUUACAGCUAGUAGCUCAUAUAUUGUUAAAUCAUUAAAUCACAUUCCUUUUGUGAAAUCAUUGAAGUUAAAAAAUGGUAGAGAGAAAAAUAUUAAUUUAUUCGUAUCUUAAAUACAUCUUUUGGGGUGCAGGUAAAUUUAAUUUUUCUAUAGACAUGACAUGUAUAAUUUUGAUGGGAUGACGUUAUUAUUAUGCAGAUUUCCAUCUGGUUGACCAUUUCCAAUACAAGUUUGGGGCUCCAAGUUUAGAUACUCAUAGCUCAGUCAUUUACUGGAUCAAGAAAAUUGUUAAUUAUGUCAGUUGCUAUGAGCUUGUGGGUGGACCACCUACAUGGCAGGCUUUGUAUAUAUUUUGUUACAAGCUCCGGUUCACAACUGUUGAUGAUGUGUUGUUUAAAUUAGAUAUGACUUGUACAUGGUUUUUGUUGUUAAGGAGUUGCUGGAAGAGGCCAAACCAACCAUUAUUUAAGAGCAAUCCAAGAAACUACAUUUGUUAAGUGAAGCCAACGCUCUGCUAAAGAAAACAAAAAGAUUAUGAAGAUUGAGGAUGAUCGAGUUCACGUUUCACUUUUUAUCCUUCCAUCCCCAUCUCCUUGAGUAAAGAUCAUUUGUUGUAUUACAUGGCUACCAAAUAUUUCAAACACUCCUGGGAACAUUUUAGACGUAAAAUUCUACAUUAUAUGAGGAAUUUCCUUUUUUCCGAAUGGAGAAUCAUGUAGGCUAUCUUGCCAUUUCCAAGAGUAAUGUGUGGUUGUGUGUAAUACUUAAAAAAGAGAUGUUAUUUCUAAGCACUGCUUACCUAUCAGAGUCAAUGUAGAAGUAAGGUAAUUGCCACAUUUUCCAAAUCCAUGUAGAAGCAAGGAAACUGCUACAUUUUCCUAUUAAAUUGAUUAAUGAUAUUUGUAAGCACGCAAUCUAUGCUUUAACUAUUUGCCGUUUGCAUAUGUUGUAUUCCAAA